GGACAUUAUCCAAGUGGUUCUUGUAUGUCGUCCCAGCAGUUAUAAUGUUUCGUCUGUACUUCAUUGUCCGCUGUUCCAACUAUUGUAGUGUAGCUUACUCACAAACGCACGCGCCGAACAGAAACUAUGCUUAUACGCAGGGCUGAUUACUAACAAUGUCUGUAUGAUUAUUGCUCCUGAUGCGGUGCAAUUAAAUGAGUGUUAUUUCUGAGUAAUAGAUAGCCUGUAGUUGUCCCCGGACGGCGGAUAAGUUCCCCACAGGAGGUAAUUUCACUUCUGCCCACAGAGCGGUACUAUUCAUUGACAAUAACGGGAGAAGCGCUGCUAAAGGUACAGUACUAAUUCCGUACGGGCAAGAAUCCGAUUCGACGUCGUUUUAACUUUCUCUCCGUUAUAAAAAAAAAAGGACAUACUUUGUGUGUUUAAGAUCGGAUACAUCUCCUGUCCGUAAGAGGGGUCAUUUAAAAGGAAAACCAUUUUUGAAGGCAAAAUUGUUUUUAUGCGAACAUGGGAAUUGUUUCUCAACUUUCGCUCGAGGUCAGGCAUAUUGAUCUUUGAAGAAUGCAUGAGCCAUACAUUAAAAUGAAGUACUCAUCCAAAGCUGAUCCAUUUAGAGACAAUAAGCAACUUGGACAAGCAGACUCCUCUAGUCUCCCAGCUUGAAAAACAAACACAAUAACGGUGCUUUGAAACACUGCAUUCAGACUGAAAGACGUUCUGCCCGUGGAUUUGGGGAGGAACUUGUGGUUUUGUGCAAGCAAAGAGCAUUUCCUAGCUGGAUCCGGCGAGCAGAUACCGACAGAUCGCAGACGAACGCUUAUGGUGCCAGUCAUUUUCAUGAAUUCAAAAUCAACUCACCAGUGAUUUUUGGGAGCUGGAGAUAGAGAAGUCUUUCUGUUUAUGUAAGUAUAAACAAUACAUUCUGCUUAAUGCAUCUUGUCCAACAACCU
rnacentral:lncRNA from 1 species